CCCUUAGAUGUUCUGGACCGCACGCGCGCUACACUGAUUCAUGCAACAAGUUUUGUCCUUGGCUGAUAGGCCUGGGUAAUCUUUGAACGUGAAUCGUGAUGGGGAUAGAUGAUUGCAAUUAUUCAUCUUCAACGAGGAAUUCCUAGUAAACGCAAGUCAUCAGCUUGCAUUGAUUACGUCCCUGCCCUUUGUACACACCGCCCGUCGCACCUACCGAUUGAAUGGUCCGGUGAAAUCUUCGGAUCUGAGAGAUGUCUGAUUAAUUUCGGACGCCUUUUGGAAAAGUUGUUUAAACCUUACCAUUUAGAGGAAGGUGAAGUCGUAACA
rnacentral:rRNA from 1 species